AGGAUAAACGCUGGCGGCGUGCCUAACACAUGCAAGUCGAACGCCCUUUUUCCUCGCAAGAGGGGGGAGGGAGUGGCGGACGGGUGAGGAACACAUGGGUGACCUACCUUUCAGUGAGGAAUACCGGCGAGAAAUCGCCGACAAGACCGCAUGAGCUUCCCUCGGUAAGCGAGGGAAGGAAAGCUCUUUUCGUGCGAACGGAGGGGGGCGCUGGAAGAUGGGCCUGUGGCCGAUUAGCUAGUUGGUGAGGUAACGGCUCACCAAGGCGACGAUCGGUAGCUGGUCUGAGAGGACGAUCAGCCACACUGGGAUUGAGAACGGCCCAGACUCCUACGGGGGGCAGCAGUGAGGAAUUUUCCGCAAUGGGCGCAAGCCUGACGGAGCAACGCCGCGUGCAGGAAGACGGUUUUCGGAUCGUAAACUGCUUUUCUCGGGGACGAGAACGGACGGUACCCGAGGAAUCGAGCCCCGGCUAACUACGUGCCAGCAGCCGCGGUAA
rnacentral:rRNA from 1 species